ACCGCGAACACGUGUUUAACACCGUUGGGGACGGUGCGGGGGGUAACCCUCUGCCGUGUCCCAUCUCCUGCCGGCGUGUAUCUUCGGGUCACGUCGUGCGGGCUAACGAACCCCGGCGCGGAAUGCGCCAAGGAAAACAAAACGAAGCGUUUCCCCCUGGCAUCCCGUUCGCGGAGUGUGCUGGGGGAGCAGACGUCUAUCAAAUGUCAAAACGACUCUCGGCAACGGAUAUCUCGGCUCUCGCAUCGAUGAAGAACGUAGCGAAAUGCGAUACUUGGUGUGAAUUGCAGAAUCCCGUGAACCAUCGAGUCUUUGAACGCAAGUUGCGCCCGAAGCCAUUAGGCCGAGGGCACGUCUGCCUGGGCGUCACGCAUCGCGUCGCCCCC
rnacentral:misc_RNA from 1 species